AGAUUGAACGCUGGCGGCAUGCCUUACACAUGCAAGUCGAACGGCAGCACGGGAGCAAUCCUGGUGGCGAGUGGCGAACGGGUGAGUAAUAUAUCGGAACGUGCCCAGUCGUGGGGGAUAACGCAGCGAAAGCUGUGCUAAUACCGCAUACGAUCUAUGGAUGAAAGCGGGGGAUCGCAAGACCUCGCGCGAUUGGAGCGGCCGAUAUCAGAUUAGCUAGUUGGUGGGGUAAAAGCCUACCAAGGCGACGAUCUGUAGCUGGUCUGAGAGGACGACCAGCCACACUGGAACUGAGACACGGUCCAGACUCCUACGGGAGGCAGCAGUGGGAAUUUUGGACAAUGGGCGCAAGCCUGAUCCAGCAAUGCCGCGUGCAGGAUGAAGGCCUUCGGUUGUAAACUGCUUUUGUACGGAACGAAACGGUUCUUCUACUAAUACGAGGGCUAAGUGACGGUACCGUAAGAAUAAGACACCGGCUAA
rnacentral:rRNA from 1 species